AUUAAAUGGGUACACUGCACUGUAAAGUUAGAAUAAGUUACACUGAAACUACAAUCAAAUUACACUGGAAAAUCCACUAAAAUUACAGUGGAAUUAAAAUGGGUACACUGCACUGUAAAGUUAAAAUAAAUUACAUUGAAACUACAAAUCAAAUUACACUGUAAAAUCCACUAAAAUUACACUGGAAUUAAAUGGGUACACUGCACUGUAAAGUUAGAAUAAGUUACACUGAAACUACAAACAAAUUACACUGGAAAAUCCACUAAAAUUACACUGGAAUUAAAUGGGUACAAUGCACUGUAAAGUUAGGAUGAACUACACUGUAAAAUCCACCAAAAUUACACUGGAAUUAAAUAAGUAAAUUACACUUAAAAGUACGAAAUGCUGGGAUGAACUACACUGUGAGAAAAUCCACUCAAAUUACACAUAAAAUCUGGGACAGGUUAUGCUGCAAGACUGAGACAAAUUACAUUACAAUGCAACAAAUGAGAUAAAAUCACAGUGGAAUUAAAACGGCUAAAAUACACUUAAAGUCUGUAAAUCUGAGAUGAAUUACACAGUAAAACUGACAUAAAGUUACCAUGAAAAUCUGGGAAAAUUACACAUAAAACUACACUGCAAUUACAAUAAAAAAUCACCCUAGAAAUUCAGGGUUAAUUACACUAUACAAACUGGGAGAAAUUACCCCUGUAAGACUACAAAACUGAUAUUACACUGGAAGUCUGUGACGACACUGAAAAAGUCUGAUCAAACAAUUGACAACACUGAAAAGGGCCGAGCCAAAAGUACACAGAAAUUAAACUUAAAAUUCAUUCCUGCUAGAAGAAAAACAAACACGGUACAAAGGAGAACUACACCUCCAACAACAAAUCAGGAGCCUAAUUCAUUUGAAUACAAAAAAAGAGCUUGACACAAGCACCUAGCAUCUACCAGUACAUGAGCAAGGGCAAGAGCAGGAAAACACGCAGAAGCAUCAGGGAGCAUCCCGACACGAGCAGGAACGAGCUAGACAUCUACCAGUACAUCUACAACAUCCCGCAUGCUACAACUACAGACAUCCGCCAAGCUACAUCUACAGAAUCCCCAUCAGCUACAGGAACAUGAGCAGCUACAAGUACAUGAGCACCUACAGAUCGCCCUCUCACCUACAGGAACAUGAGCACCUACAGGAACAUCUACAGAAACAUCUACAGAAUCCCUCGCGCCUACAGGAACACGAGUACCUACAGGAACAUCUACAGAUCGCCCUCUCAUCUACAUGAACAGCUACAUCUCCACAGACAAAAGGGGGACAAAGCCGCUGCAUCUACAAACUACAACAGUACAAACAGCAGCGCGCGCGGGACGACCACAACAACCAGAAGCCUAGCAAUCUAGCGGCUGCACCACAUGCGCGAGAGGGCGACAUGAACUGACCUAGAUCUGGGACGAACAAGAGCAGAACAACACAAGCGCGCGACGGGGAGAGAGAGAGAGAGGAACAACCAACCGCGACACCGGGGAGCGAAGGGGAAGGGGAGAGAAAUCAAGCUCGAGUGGGGGAAGGUCUCGAAAUCGCCAUGGACGGGGAGAAUCGCCUCCUGCUCCGCCGCUCGAGCUCCCCCUCAGCCUUAUCCAAACAGAGAGGACGAAAUGAAAAGGGAGGAAAGGCACGCUACCCCAAAUUCAAACGAGACAAAAAUCAGAGCCGGCCGGGCGCGGCGAUAACGGGCACAGAGAAAACCGCACAACACAAAAAAACCGGACCCGGCAACAAGACCAGCACGAAUCUCCGCGCAAGAACGGACGGACAACGACUUGAAUGUUGGCGAAUUGCAAAACAGUCAGCUGUAAAAUAGCAAAACCGUAAAACAAAGAUAUCAAUCUAAUUUAGAAAGGAAGGAAUACACUUGAUACUGAAUAGAAAUCUAACUCACAAUAGAAAUCUAUUUAAAAUCAGAGUAGUUAUCAGGUAAGCAAUACAUAAGGUGGAGCUGUGGGCUGAUAUAGGAAGGAAUAUACUUGAGACCGAAUAAUUUAGAAACAGAGUAGUUAUUGGGUAAGCAGUACAGAAGUGAGCUGUGGGCUAAUUUGGUACGAGGCGAAUACAGGAGGGGUAGUGAAUUAGGAAAGUUCAUAGGUAGUAGACAGCAGCAUGGUUUCAUUUGCUGGUGAACACAAAAAAUACAAGGUCUGCCGCUGCUUUUUUUAUGGGUACCUGCUGGAGCUAAUGGCAGAAAUGUUGC
rnacentral:lncRNA from 1 species